CGAAGAUCAUACUAUUUGUUCAGGAUGAACGUAGGAUGAUGUUUAUCAAACAAAAAGACUCUUAUCAGGCUCCAUACUAAAUGACUGUAGAUGUUGUCUGACGAGUUGUUCCUAUGAUCUACAUUGCCGGUAAUGUCCAUGCUUAGCUGUCCAUUUUAAGGGAUUUGGUGUGUUGGAACUGGUUGAGUCCGCCAUCUUGAAGUCUUGGUGAAUCAAGAAACGAGAAAGAACGCUGAAUAAGUCAAGAAAUAAGCCGUAUUAAGUCCCGUGGAUGUCUGGAACAAAGGAGGCUUGACGGCAAAGUUUAAUAUCCCAGAAAGGCGAGACCAAUCAAGAAAGACCAAGGAGUUAAAUCAACCGUUUUUUGAUAUUUUCUUAUUUUAGAUUUCAGUAAUACCGUAAACCUCAACGUGAAAAAUAAGCCACUACGAAAAUGCCCCAUGACUUUAUUAAAACCAAAAAGGCACGGUAACGUUGGGGUAAUAUUUAAUCCAGGGGUUUUU
rnacentral:lncRNA from 1 species